rnacentral:rRNA from 1 species
UCCGGUGCCUCUAGCGAUAGGGUCACACCUGAUCCCAUACCGAACUCAGCAGUUAAGCCUAUCAGCGCUGAUGGUAGCCUUCAGUGGCAAGAGUAAGUCGGUGCCGGGA